AUCGAACGCUGGCGGCAGUCCUAACACAUGCAAGUCGAACGGUACCAUCAAGAUGCUUGCUUCUUUGCUGACUAAUGGCGGACGGCUGAGCAUUGUCUGCGAAACUGCCUGAUGGAGCUGGUUCACUACUGGAAACGGUAGCUAAUACCGCAUAAUGUCGCCCUAUCAAUCAGCCCGCCCUUCGGUCCUUUUUUCAUCGGAUUUGCCCGGAUGGGAUUAGCUAGUCGGUAGGGUAACGGCUCACCUAGGCGACGCUCUCUAGCUGGUAUGAGAGGAUGACCAGCCACACUGGAAGUGAGACACGGUCCAGACUCCGACGGGAGGCAGCAGUGGGGAAUAUUGCACGAUGGGCGCGAGCCUGAUGCAGCCAUGCCGCGGGUAGGAAGAAGGCCUUCGGGUUGGAAAGUACUGACAGCGGGGAGGAAGGGAGUAAAGUUAAUACCUUUGCUCAUUGACGUUACCCGCAGAAGAAGCACCGGCUAACUCCGUG
rnacentral:rRNA from 1 species